AGGCAAAGCCGGGAGAAACUGCUGAGACGAGGUUAGGAUUUAACCUUUAAAUUCUGGAGCCAUCGGAAACCGAGGGGAGGACGACGGGUGUCGGUGCUAAUGAGGCUGGGGGCGGGCGAUGCGCGGUGGGCCUCCGAGUCCGGGGCAGGUCUCGGGGGUUCCCCGGGGAAGGCCCUGGGAGCCCUUGGCCCUGGCGGCCUCCGCCAUCAGACUGGGAAUGUCUCUGAUUGGGUGGCCAGGAGGCGGUGGCCCUCCUCCCCGCCCAGCUGAGGGGUGUCGUCUUCCGCGAAGUUAGGGUCUCACCUGGGAGGCAAGGAGGGAGGGGGCUGCCUGAGGCCCUGGGCCCCUCCGGGACUGGCGCACCCCGUCUCACCCACAUUCCUUCGCCUUUCCCUGCCCAGUGUGGAUUUCCAAAACCCAUCCCCGCUCCCCUCCUUCCUUCACCCCAAGUCACCCGUUCCCAGCUCUGUUUCUUGCCCCACCCAGGGAGGGCUUUUCCGCACCUCAGGCUUGUCCUAGGGCCCCCAGACAGACAAAAACUGCGGCAGUUGAGGGGUGUUGU
rnacentral:lncRNA from 1 species